UACGGAGGGAGCUAGCGUUGUUCGGAAUUACUGGGCGUAAAGCGCGCGUAGGCGGCUUUGUAAGUUAGAGGUGAAAGCCCGGAGCUCAACUCCGGAACUGCCUUUAAAACUGCAUCGCUUGAAUCCAGGAGAGGUGAGUGGAAUUCCGAGUGUAGAGGUGAAAUUCGUAGAUAUUGGGAAGAACACCGAUGGCGAAGGCAGCUCUCUGGACCGUUACUGACGCUGAGGCGCGAAAGCGUGGGGAGCAAACAGG
rnacentral:rRNA from 1 species